GAAAUGCGAUAAGUAAUGUGAAUUGCAGAAUUCAGUGAAUCAUCGAAUCUUUGAACGCACAUUGCGCCCCUUGGUAUUCCGGGGGGCAUGCCUGUUCGAGCGUCAUUAUCACCCCUCAAGCUCAGCUUGGUGUUGGGGCCUGCCCUCAAAGGCAGCCCCUAAAAUCAGUGGCGGUGCCCUCAGGCUCUAAGCGUAGUAAUACUCCUCGCUAUAGUGUCCUGGUGGUGUCUUGCCAAAACCCCCCAUUUUUUCAUGAUUGACCUCGGAUCAGGUAGGGAUACCCGCUGAACUUAA
rnacentral:misc_RNA from 1 species